rfam:Mucinivorans hirudinis complete genome
AGGGAGAAAGCCGAAAAUCCUAUAUAGAGUAGGAA